rnacentral:siRNA from 1 species
UAUGUUUGUACAGUAAAACCUC